CAUGCAAGUCGAACGGCAGCACAGGAGAGCUUGCUCUCUGGGUGGCGAGUGGCGGACGGGUGAGGAAUACAUCGGAAUCUACUUUUUCGUGGGGGAUAACGUAGGGAAACUUACGCUAAUACCGCAUACGACCUACGGGUGAAAGCAGGGGAUCUUCGGACCUUGCGCGAUUGAAUGAGCCGAUGUCGGAUUAGCUAGUUGGCGGGGUAAAGGCCCACCAAGGCGACGAUCCGUAGCUGGUCUGAGAGGAUGAUCAGCCACACUGGAACUGAGACACGGUCCAGACUCCUACGGGAGGCAGCAGUGGGGAAUAUUGGACAAUGGGCGCAAGCCUGAUCCAGCCAUACCGCGUGGGUGAAGAAGGCCUUCGGGUUGUAAAGCCCUUUUGUUGGGAAAGAAAUCCAGCUGGUUAAUACCCGGUUGGGAUGACGGUACCCAAAGAAUAAGCACCGGCUAACUUCGUGCCAGCAG
rnacentral:rRNA from 1 species